UAUCAUUUUCAAUGUCCUGAUGGAAACUGGGGUAGUAAUAKUUGGUCUAGAAACCCAAAGAAUUUGGCGGUAUUUUAGUACUUAAUUUUGUUUCASUAUACCGCCGUCGUAAGAUAUUUUUUUCAGAAUACAUGUUCUUAAUUUUGUAUUAAAUAAUAUGUCAGGUCAAGGUGCAGCUUAUGAUUAAGUGGAUGAAGGAUUACAAUAGUAUUCAUUAUAAUGGAUAAUUGUUUGAAGUUAAUAUGCAGGUGGACUUGAUUUUAAAUUUGAUUUUMAUUUCUUGAUUGAUUUGAGCUCUAAAAUGCGCACAAAUUGCCCGUCGCUUAAGUUGAGAUAAG
rnacentral:rRNA from 1 species